CCUGUGUCCCAUCAGUAAUCAUCCCCUGUGUACUGUCUCAUCUCCUCCCUGUUUAUUUGCACUCUGCUUGUGGUUUUUGUGGACUAUCUCAUGUUCUCUUGGACUCCUUGUGUUUUUUUGCCAAACCUCUCCCUUGGACUUUGUGGACUUGCCUCAUCAUCACAGAGGACGAUGAGGAUGAAGAUGUGGAGGUGAAUGGGAGGAUCAGCAAAAUGUCACACUGUAACACAGGAGGUCAAGGUGGCGAUAACAAGCUAAGAAAUACAGCAAUGCAGCAGCAAAGAGAGAGACAUGACAGAAGGGCAGGGAGAGAAGGGCAUGACAUGCAGCAAAGGCCCCCCAGCUGGCAGUCAAACUGUGGACAUUGCAGUUAUAUGGAUGCAUCUCAACCAUCAGACCUCCAGAGGCCACAGGAGUAGGUAAGAGUUGAA